rnacentral:sRNA from 1 species
GCUGGGUGUGGCAGUGCACACCUGUAAUCCCAGCAGCUCGAGAGGCUGAGGCAGGAGGAUCACGAGUUCAAAGCCAGCCUCAGCAAUUUAGAGAGGCCCUAAGCGACUUAGAGAGACCCCGUCUCCA